rnacentral:rRNA from 1 species
GAACGCUGGUGGCGUGCUUAUACAUGCAAGUCGAGCGAGGCAGCAAUGCCGAGCGGCGAACGGGUGAGUAACGCGUAAGCAAUCUGCCCCAUAUCAGGAAAUACCCGUGCCAACGCGCGGUUAAUGUCCAGGAGAGUGGCCUUCUGCGUGGAGGGUUGACUAGAGAUUUAUCGGUAUGGGAUGAGCUUGCGUCCGAUUAGCUAGUUGGCGGGGCAACGGCCCACCAAGGCGACGAUCGGUAGCCGGCCUGAGAGGUGAUCGGCCACAUUGGGACUGAGAUACGGCCCAGACUCCUACGGGAGGCAGCAGUAGGGAAUAUUGCACAAUGGGGGAAACCCUGAUGCAGCAACGCCACGUGUGGGAAGAAGCAUUUCGGUGUGUAAACCACUGUCAUGAGGAAUAAGCCGCUCCGACGGACCUUGAUGUACCUUGAGAGGAAGCACCGGCAAACUUCGUGCCAGCAGCUGC